rnacentral:rRNA from 1 species
UACGUAGGGUGCGAGCGUUGUCCGGAAUUAUUGGGCGUAAAGGGCUCGUAGGCGGCCAGGUAGGUCGGUUGUGAAAACUGGAGGCUCAACCUUCAGAGGUCGACCGAAACCAUCUGGCUAGAGUCCGGGAGAGGAGAGUGGAAUUCCUGGUGUAGCGGUGAAAUGCGCAGAUAUCAGGAAGAACACCCGUGGCGAAAGCGGCUCUCUGGAACGGUACUGACGCUGAGACGCGAAAGCGUGGGGAGCGAACAGG